UGUUUAAAAUAUUCCAUAAUUUUUUUUUUUAAAUGGAAGUUAAUAAGAGAAAAAGAAAGGUAGAGAGAAAGAGAAAAUGCAUGCUGUCCUGUCCCUUGCACAUUUUGAUCCAAAUGAAGUUUUCUGACUCUCCUGAGGCUCCAUAGAGAUGAAGGCAUCUAACUGUACAGUUUUUGGUGGGAAAACUCAUGAUCAGACUAAAAGAUGACUUAGAAUGAAGAAAGAGCUGGCCAGGUGUGGUGGCUCAUGCCUGCCUAUAAUCCCAGCACUUUGAGAGGCCAAGGCAGAUGUGGAUGAGCAUUUGCCAGUUGAUAAAGUGAGCCCAGUGUGGAAAAGGCCGAGGACCUGUGGCAUCAUUCUGAUUGAUGCCAAGUCUUCACUGUGGAAGAAAGCCUACAUGUGACUGUGCUAGUACUCAAUGCUGAAAAAGAUAUAGUGGACACCUGGGAUGACUCCUUAGGACGGCAGGAAGUUCAUAGUCAGGCCAAAGUACUAGUCUUGCAUUCAGAGAAGACCAUCUCCAACAACUAUUACCUCAUUUAUGAAUAAUGGAGAACUGUCAAAUUUGAGUGAGGGGAUCAAAGGUCCACUUAGCUCAGAGGUUUUUUUUUCGUUUUGUUUUUUGUUUUAAAAACUUUUAAAAUACAGACCGGGUCUCACGAUGUUCCCCAGGCUGGUCUUGAACUCCAGGGCUCAAGCAAUCCACUGGCCUUGUCCUCCCAAAGUGCUGGGAUUACAGGUCUGAGCCACCGCGCCCAGCUAGAGAGACUCUUAAUACAAAGAUUGCAUGAAUAUAUCUUCUUGCAACUGGUUUGACAGUCCCUAAGUUCUGAAGUAUUACUAGUCUUUUGGUUUAAUUUUCUUUCUUUCUUUCUUUCUUUUUUGAGACAGAGUCUUGCUCUGUCAGCCAGGCUGGAGUACAGUGGCAAAAUCUUGGCUCACUGCAACCUCCGUCUCCCGGGCUCAAGCAAUUCUCCUGCCUCAUCCUCCUGAGGAGCUGGGAUUACAGGCAUGUGCCACCACGCCCAGCUAAUUUUCGUAUUUUUAGUAGAGACAGGGUUUCACCAUGUUGGCCAGGCUGGUCUUGAACUCCCGACCUCAGGUAAUCUGCCUGACUCAGCCUCUCAAAGUGCU
rnacentral:lncRNA from 1 species